rnacentral:rRNA from 1 species
UACGUAGGGUGCGAGCGUUGUCCGGAAUUAUUGGGCGUAAAGGGCUCGUAGGCGGUUUGUCGCGUCGGGAGUGAAAACUCAGGGCUUAACCCUGAGCCUGCUUCCGAUACGGGCAGACUAGAGGUAUGCAGGGGAGAACGGAAUUCCUGGUGUAGCGGUGAAAUGCGUAGAUAUCGGGAGGAACACCAGUGGCGAAGGCGACUUCCUGGCCUGUUCUUGACGCUGAGGCGCGAAAGCUAGGGUAGCAAACGGG